CUACGGGAGGCUGCAGUGGGGAAUCUUAGACAAUGGGGGAAACCCUGAUCUAGCCAUGCCGCGUGAGUGACGAAGGCCUUAGGGUCGUAAAGCUCUUUCGCUGGGGAAGAUAAUGACUGUACCCAGUAAAGAAACCCCGGCUAACUCCGUGCCAGCAGCCGCGGUAAUACGGAGGGGGUUAGCGUUGUUCGGAAUUACUGGGCGUAAAGCGCGCGUAGGCGGACUGGAAAGUUGGGGGUGAAAUCCCGGGGCUCAACCCCGGAACGGCCUCCAAAACUAUCAGUCUAGAGUUCGAGAGAGGUGAGUGGAAUUCCGAGUGUAGAGGUGAAAUUCGUAGAUAUUCGGAGGAACACCAGUGGCAAAGGCGGCUCACUGGCUCGAUACUGACGCUGAGGUGCGAAAGCGUGGGGAGCAAACAGGAUUAGAUACCCCGGUAGUC
rnacentral:rRNA from 1 species